AGUGAACGCUGGCGGUAGGCCUAACACAUGCAAGUCGAACGGCAGCACAGUAAGAGCUUGCUCUUACGGGUGGCGAGUGGCGGACGGGUGAGGAAUACAUCGGAAUCUACUUUUUCGUGGGGGAUAACGUAGGGAAACUACGCUAAUACCGCCUUACGACUACGGGUUAAAGCAGGGGAACUUCCGACCUUGGCCCGUUGGAUUGAGCGAGGUCGGGUUAGCUUGUUGGGGGGGUAAAGGCCCACCAAGGCGACGAUCCGUAGCUGGUCUGAGAGGAUGAUCAGCCACACUGGAACUGAGACACGGUCCAGACUCCUACGGGAGGCAGCAGUGGGGAAUAUUGGACAAUGGGCGCAAGCCUGAUCCAGCCAUACCGCGUGGGUGAAGAAGGCCUUCGGGUUGUAAAGCCCUUUUGUUGGGAAAGAAAAGCAGCAGGUUAAUACCCCGCUGUUCUGACGGUACCCAAAGAAUAAGCACCGGCUAACUUCGUG
rnacentral:rRNA from 1 species